rnacentral:ncRNA from 2 species
AUCUCAUAAUACUAUAAGGGUGGACUAGUGCACAUCGCCUAGUCGCUGGGAAACUGGUGCAAGUCCAGUACAGAACCCGCUGCUGUAAUUCUCGCCAUAGAGGAGGAUCACAUAUCCACUGUCUUAACUAAGAUGGGAAGGAGAUCGCUCCAAGCAGGGCUACGCCACACACUGCAUAGUCCCGACGAGAUAAGUCAGAAGACCGACCCUAGUAGACGGAGAUCG